ACGCCCUAGCUCUCCCUUAUCCACAAACAGUCACAAGAUAACUCAGGUUUGUCUUCUCUGGCGCCCUAAGUUUGCACAGCUUCAUUUCAGGUUGAUCCGGAACAAGUACGGUCGAUGGUACGGACCGCCUGUCCGUACCUCGCCCUAUUUUUGCACCAACUCCCAAUCUCCUCCAAUUGUUGAGUCUGAACAUUUCUUGGUCGACCUCGCUCCGUACGGAUCCGUACAGGUCCGUACCAGUCCGUACCGCUCGCCCUAACUUUGCACCAUCGCCCAAACUACUCCAGAUGGUGUAAGUCCCUCCUGGACUUGACCCUAUCUUUGCACUGACUUCAGGACACUUCAAGACUUCUUUAAACACUCUUGAAGCCUUGACAGACAAUCUCUGAAGAUCUUGCCAUAUCCUUCAUCAAGACCCAAACUCAACCAACUCCUCCUUUGGCUCCAUUUCUUUCUUCAAGUCAACACAAGAUCCAUCUAACAUACAAAUAUUACCCAAACUUGUGACUUGAGGUUCCUCUGUAUUGUUCUCUUGUACCACUGGUUGUACCAAUUCGUUCGCAUCAAACCAUGCUUUGCAUUCGCUUUCUGCAUGUCGAACUAGCUCCAAA
rnacentral:lncRNA from 1 species